rnacentral:rRNA from 1 species
UGGGGAAUAUUGCGCAAUGGCCGCAAGGCUGACGCAGCGACGCCGCGUGGGGGAUGAAGCAUUUCGGUGUGUAAACCCCUGUUGCUCGGGACGAACAACGAGUUUCGACUCGUCUGACGGUACCGGGUGAGGAAGCACCGGCUAACUCCGUGCCAGCAGCCGCGGUAAUACGGAGGGUGCGAGCGUUGUCCGGAAUCACUGGGCGUAAAGGGCGCGUAGGCGGUCUGCUAAGCGUGUGGUGAAAGCUCGGGGCUCAACCCCGAGUCGGCCAUGCGAACUGGUGGACUAGAGCACUGUAGAGGCAGGUGGAAUUCCGGGUGUAGCGGUGGAAUGCGUAGAGAUCCGGAAGAACACCGGUGGCGAAGGCGGCCUGCUGGGCAGUAGCUGACGCUGAGGCGCGACAGCGUGGGGAGCAAACA